UACGUAGGGACCGAGCGUUGUCCGGAAUCAUUGGGCGUAAAGAGCGUGUAGGCGGCUUGUUAAGUCUUGCGUGAAAUCUCGGGGCUCAACCCCGAGCGGUCGUGAGAAACUGGCAGGCUAGAGUGCGGGAGAGGAGAGUGGAAUUCCUGGUGUAGCGGUGAAAUGCGCAGAUAUCAGGAGGAACACCAGUGGCGAAAGCGACUUUCUGGUCCUUAACUGACGCUGAGGCGCGAAAGCAUGGGGAGCGAACGGG
rnacentral:rRNA from 1 species